AGAGUUUGAUCCUGGCUCAGGAUGAACGCUGACAGAAUGCUUAACACAUGCAAGUCAACUUGAACUUCGGUUUGGGUGGCGGACGGGUGAGUAACGCGUAAAGAACUUGCCUCACAGAUAGGGACAACAUUUGGAAACGAAUGCUAAUACCUGAUAUUAUGAUUUUAGGGCAUCCUAGAAUUAUGAAAGCUAUAUGCACUGUGAGAGAGCUUUGCGUCCCAUUAGCUAGUUGGAGAGGUAACGGCUCACCAAGGCGAUGAUGGGUAGCCGGCCUGAGAGGGUGAUCGGCCACAAGGGGACUGAGACACGGCCCUUACUCCUACGGGAGGCAGCAGUGGGGAAUAUUGGACAAUGGACCAAGAGUCUGAUCCAGCAAUUCUGUGUGCACGAUGAAGUUUUUCGGAAUGUAAAGUGCUUUCAGUUGGGAAGAAAAAAAUGACGGUACCAACAGAAGAAGUGACGGCUAAAUACGUGCCAGCAGCCGCGGUAAUACGUAUGUCACAAGCGUUAUCCGGAUUUAUUGGGCGUAAAGCGAGCGCAGGCGGUUAGAUAAGUCUGAAGUUAAAGGCUGUGGCUUAACCAUAGUAUGCUUUGGAAACUGUUUAACUUGAGUGCAGAAGGGGAGAGUGGAAUUCCAUGUGUAGCGGUGAAAUGCGUAGAUAUAUGGAGGAACACCGGUGGCGAAAGCGGCUCUCUGGUCUGUAACUGACGCUGAUGCUCGAAAGCGUGGGGAGCAAACAGGAUUAGAUACCCUGGUUAGUCCACGCCGUAAACGAUGAGUGCUAGGUGUUAGGCCCUUUUCCGGGGCUUAGUGCCGCAGCUAACGCAUUAAGCACUCCGCCUGGGGAGUACGCACGCAAGUGUGAAACUCAAAGGAAUUGACGGGGGCCCGCACAAGCGGUGGAGCAUGUGGUUUAAUUCGAUGAUACGCGAGGAACCUUACCAAGGUUUAAAUGGAGACUGACGUACUUAGAGAUAGGUAUUUCUUCGGACAGUUUUCAAGGUGCUGCAUGGUUGUCGUCAGCUCGUGCCGUGAGGUGUCAGGUUAAGUCCUAUAACGAGCGCAACCCCUGCCAUUAGUUGCUAGCGAGUCGAGUCGAGCACUCUAGUGGGACUGCCGGUGCAAACCGUGAGGAAGGUGGGGAUGACGUCAAAUCAUCACGGCCCUUACAUCUUGGGCUACACACGUGCUACAAUGGUCGUUACAGAGAGCAGCCACUGCGUGAGCAGGCGCGAAUCUAUAAAGACGAUCACAGUUCGGAUCGGAGUCUGCAACUCGACUCCGUGAAGCUGGAAUCGCUAGUAAUCGGAUAUCAGCCAUGAUCCGGUGAAUACGUUCCCGGGCCUUGUACACACCGCCCGUCAAGCCAUGGAAGCUGGGGGUACCUGAAGACGGUCACCGCGAGGAGCUGUUUAGGGUAAAACUAGUGACUGGGGCUAAGUCGUAACAAGGUAACC
rnacentral:rRNA from 1 species